GUUGUGGAGGCUCGGGUCAGGCCUGGUGCAGUGUGUUAAGACUCUGGUGUUGCUGCAGCUGUGGCGUAGAUCACAGCUGUGGCUUGGAUUCAGUCCCUGGCCUGGGAAAUUCCAUAUGCUGUGGGUGUGGCCAUAAAAAAAGAAAAAGACAUUACGAAAACAAAUCUCUCUCUCUCUGUAUGUGUACGUGUGUGUAUGUGUGUGUGUCUACUUGUCUCUGUCUCAUCGGAAAUGGCUGCAGUCAGAUGAAAUAGUGGCCUCAAAUGGGCAAAACUGAACCAUUUCCAGACAAACAUGCACCACUUAUUUGGAGGACUGAAUUUAUAUUUGUAGAUGUAACACAUCCCUGAUGAAGACAGGGAAGGAAGGGAGAGGAAGAACCAGGCUCCUCUCCCUAACCAACUUUUCUUUCCAGAAAACACCUGAUCUGGAGUCUGAGCGAGAGAUCGUUGGCACAUGGCCUAGUGAGACAGAUGAUUGCCAAGGUAGAUGGAACAUCCCUGAAGAUCAUGCUUCAUGUGGAAGUGAACCUGUUGGAGGUUAAGGUCUCUUCCUCAUUUCAUCGUCUGUGGGAGAGAGUCUCUGAAAGUCAAUAUCGACAGGAUGAUGACCAUCUGAAUGAAGAGACCAACCCUGGUGCAUUGUGGGAGAAGACUACACAAAGAUGUGAAUAUCAGAAGGUGAUAUUUAUGGCUGAUCUCACAGUUUCUCUUCCUUCCCCAUUCUCUGCUUCCUCCUCUCCUUGACUGGUUUCCAUGUCCUUAGGUCUGUUUCUGGGGAGCUUGGCCUAAGUUCAGGCUAUUUCUUUAUCCAAAACAGGGAUCAGUCUAUGGGCUAAAUUGCUUGUGGCUGGUUUCUGUACAGCCUGCAAGCUAAGAAUGGUAUAUAUAUAUAUGUAAUUGUUAUUUCCCCAAUACAUUUUUUUCUACUGUAUAGCAUGGUAGAUACUACUACCAUGUAUACAUUCUUUUUUCUCACAUUGUCAUGCUCCAUUGUAAGUGACUAGACAUAGUUCCCAGGGCUACACAGCAGGAUCUCACUGAAAAAAAUCAAAAGAAGAAUACUUUUUCAUCAUAUAUAAAAAUUUCAUAGUAUUUGAAAAUUAUAUGAAAGUCAAAAUUCAAUAUCCAUAUAUAGGUUUUACACAUUUUUGUGACUGCUUUCACACUGCAAAAGCAGAGUUAAGUGGUUGUAGCCCUUGCUACAUGGCCUGCCCUUUAUAGAAAGUUUGCUGACUGCUGGUGUAAAGUGAACCAGCUUUGUGUGUUUUGUUAUGUUCUUAGCAUUUAUUUUCAAAGCUUUGCCUUUUUUUUUUUUUUUUUUUUUUAGGGCCACGUCUUUGGCAUAUGGGGGUUCCCAGGCUAGGGGUUGAAUUGCAGCUGUAGCCUCUGGCCUACACCACAGCCACAGCAAUGCCAGAUCUGAGCUGCAUCUGCGACCUACACUCAGCUCACGGCAACACUGGAUCCUUAACCCAUGGAGCGAGGCCAGAGAGUGAACCUGCAUCCUCGUGGAUGCUUAGUUAGAUUUGUUUCUGCUGAGCCAUGACGGGAACUCCACCACUGGCCUCUUGACCAUCAGUCCUAAGUCCUUUCAGUGUCCUUAUGUUUUAUUGUUAACUCUUCCCAGUGUCCUUUUGUCACUCCACAUAGAAAUAAAAAUAAAUUCUUUUGGAUUUUCUAGCA
rnacentral:lncRNA from 1 species